CCUACGGGGUGCAGCAGUGGGGAAUAUUGCACAAUGGGCGCAAGCCUGAUGCAGCCAUGCCGCGUGUAUGAAGAAGGCCUUAGGGUUGUAAAGUACUUUCAGUUGGGAGGAAGGCGUUGAUGCUAAUAUCAUCAACGAUUGACGUUGCCAACAGAAGAAGCACCGGCUAACUCCGUGCCAGCAGCCGCGGUAAUACGGAGGGUGCAAGCGUUAAUCGGAAUUACUGGGCGUAAAGCGCACGCAGGCGGUUGAUUAAGUUAGAUGUGAAAUCCCCGGGCUUAACCUGGGAAUGGCAUCUAAGACUGGUCAGCUAGAGUCUUGUAGAGGGGGGUAGAGUUCCAUGUGUAGCGGUGAAAUGCGUAGAGAUGUGGAGGAAUACCGGUGGCGAAGGCGGCCCCCUGGACAAAGACUGACGCUCAGGUGCGAAAGCGUGGGGAGCAAAUAGGAUUAGAUACCCUCGUAGUC
rnacentral:rRNA from 1 species